CGCCCCGCUCGGUCCUCGCGCCCCGAGCCUAGCCUGCACGCCGGCAGCCGGCCCUGAACCGAGGCCAAUCGUAGCCCGCAGCCGCGGCGCGUGCAGGCCCCGCCUCCCGACCACAGGCCAAUCCUAGCGGAGCAACCCCAGGGUGCGCACGCCAGCCCCGCCUCCCAGACUUCGCGCGGAGGCUGCGGCCCCCGCCCGCAGCCUAGUAAGUACACCUGGGCCCCGCCCCGAGGCCAUCACGUGACAGACCCAACCCAACCCAUUGGCCGACGGCCGCUUUCCCCUCCCCCCCUCCGCCCCUUUCCACCGGCCGCGGGAAAUCAAACGGGCUGGUCGCGCCCCAACCGCCACCUGGCCUCUACGCGAAGGGCGGGGCGAGGGCGCAGCUCCAAGGUUGCCCCUGACAACCCGGGCGGGGGCCUGAGCCCGUAACCUUGGUCCUGGCUGUGGGCGGCACGGCUCACUUCCACUCUAGAGACCACCUUUGCCCGCACACCGCCGGGUGUGGUUGCUUUCUCCCAGCCUGCCCGACCGUCUCCCUAGAGGAUGCCCUGUACCCUGGUCUGUGGGAUCAGCCCGCGGGGCCAACCAGACUUUCCCAGAUGAGAAAAGGCCUGGUGCGAGGUUUGCCCCGGGUUUCUUGGGAGCCCUGGUGUCAGGCCUCGGAGCCACAAUCUCCCACCCAGAAAGAUGCGGCUCCAGAGGUCUCUCCCGCCGAGGGCAGUCUCCCGACCCCAGCAGGACGCGUAUUUUUAGCCGGGACAGCAAGCCCUGGGGCACCACACGUGCAGCCAUGCGCUGCCCGGCCCCACGUGUGCUUCCCCAGUCCCGGAAUACCACCCCACCCCGCCCCCGCCAGGCAGGCGUCCCCUUUCCAGCUGCGGCCGCUGCUUAUCCCGGUACCGGCGCGCCCUCUGCCUGCCGCUUCGGUAGGCAGCGUGCCCUGGCUUCCUCUCUGUCCUUCCAACUGCUACCCAG